UACAGAGGGGGCAAGCGUUGUUCGGAAUUACUGGGCGUAAAGGGCGCGUAGGCGGCCCGCUAAGUCAUACGUGAAAUCCCUCAGCUUAACUGGGGAACUGCGUGUGAUACUGGAUGGCUUGGAUUUGGGAGAGGGAUGCGGAAUUCCAGGUGUAGCGGUGAAAUGCGUAGAUAUCUGGAGGAACACCGGUGGCGAAGGCGGCAUCCUGGACCAAUAUUGACGCUGAGGAGCGAAAGCCAGGGGAGCAAACGGG
rnacentral:rRNA from 1 species